ACAAUAGCAGUCUAGGGUUCCGUUGAGCGCUGAGUUAGCGUUCAAGCUGGUCCGAGAGGCGGCGUAUGAACUAUUGCGGUUCAUAUAACACGGAGGGACAAAAGCCUGGGAGAU
rnacentral:sRNA from 1 species